rnacentral:rRNA from 1 species
GACAGAGGACACUAGCAUUGCUCGGAAUUAUUGGGCGUAAAGGGUACGUAGGUGGAUAUAUAAGUUUGUGGUGAAAUCUUGAAAGGUAAAUUCAAAACUGCUGCAGAUACUGUAUAUCUAGAGAUUGGGAGAGGUAGAUGGAAUUUCUAUGGAAUGGGUCAAAUCAGUCGAUUAUAGAAGGAACACCAGAGGCGAAGGCGAUCUACUAGAACAAUUCUGACACUAAGGUACGAAAGCGUGGGGAGCAAACAGG